rnacentral:lncRNA from 1 species
CUGCGCAUGAAUGGUCAAAAUUCAUUAAUUGCAUCCGCGAUGCAUAUAAGUCCUCUAUAUAUUUAAAGAUAACUUAUGCUUGAUUAGGAGAACUAGAGGGUCAUACUUACAUGCCUUCACUUUACCUUCAUCAUGGCUCCACCAGUUAUCUUUUUUCUAUUAGCAUUUCAAAAAACCAUAUUUUCUUUUCCAUGCCUUUUUUUAUUUAUUUUCUAAACAACAAAAUGCUUAUCCAGAACACUAUCAUUUAAAAAGAUG